UUUUAUUGAAGCCUCGGCAGAUUUAGCUGGUUUCUAGUGGCGGACGGGUGAGUAACGCGUGGGUAACCUGCCCUAUACAGGGGGAUAACAACCAGAAAUGGUUGCUAAUACCGCAUAAGCGCACAGGACCGCAUGGUCUGGUGUGAAAAACUCCGGUGGUAUAGGAUGGACCCGCGUUGGAUUAGCCAGUUGGCAGGGUAACGGCCUACCAAAGCGACGAUCCAUAGCCGGCCUGAGAGGGUGAUCGGCCACAUUGGAACUGAGACACGGUCCAAACUCC
rnacentral:rRNA from 1 species